CACAUAGAGCAAAGCAUAUCCGGAACUAGUUUUGAAGCGGAAUUUCUGGUGUUGGUAUCUAUUUUUGAACCUCUAUUUCCCUUCAUUUCCAUUUUUGAUGCUUGAAUGUGAACUGGGUGUUUGAUUUAAUGAGUUUUUUAUUUUCGAAAGUAAGUGUUUGAUUUUUUUUUAAAUGAGAUGAAUCUUCUUUUGAAGUUGGCAUGAAACUUUUCUUUCAAACUGAAUGUAUGAUUCUUCAUGGUGAUAUGGUUGAUGUCGAACAUACAUGAGGCUUUUU
rnacentral:lncRNA from 1 species